rnacentral:rRNA from 1 species
CCCUUAGAUGUUCUGGGCCGCACGCGCGCUACACUGAUGAAUUCAACGAGCACUAACCUGUGCCGAAAGGUUCGGGUAAUCUUGUGAAAUUUCAUCGUGAUGGGGAUUGAUUAUUGCAAUUUUUAAUCAUAAACGAGGAAUGCCUAGUAAGCGUGAGUCAUCAGCUCACGUUGAUUACGUCCCUGCCCUUUGUGCACACCGCCCGUCGCUCCUACCGAUUGGAUGAUCCGGUGAGCUAUUCGGACUUUCGCAUUGUCGAUUUUCGGCUUUACGAGGGAAAGUCUCGCGAACCUUAUCAUCUAGAGGAAGGAGAAGUCGUAACA